GAUGGACGCUGGCGGCGUGCUUAACACAUGCAAGUCGAACGGAAAGGCCCAAGCUUGCUUGGGUGCUCGAGUGGCGAACGGGUGAGUAACACGUGGGUGAUCUGCCCUGCACUUUGGGAUAAGCCUGGGAAACUGGGUCUAAUACCGGAUAGGACCAUCGUUUAGUGUCGGUGGUGGAAAGUUUUUCGGUGUGGGAUGAGCUCGCGGCCUAUCAGCUUGUUGGUGGGGUAAUGGCCUACCAAGGCGUCGACGGGUAGCCGGCCUGAGAGGGUGUACGGCCACAUUGGGACUGAGAUACGGCCCAGACUCCUACGGGAGGCAGCAGUGGGGAAUAUUGCACAAUGGGCGCAAGCCUGAUGCAGCGACGCCGCGUGGGGGAUGACGGCCUUCGGGUUGUAAACUCCUUUCGCCAAGGACGAAGCGUUUUGUGACGGUACUUGGAGAAGAAGCACCGGCUAACUACGUG
rnacentral:rRNA from 1 species